rnacentral:tRNA from 1 species
ACGCGGGGUGGAGCAGCCUGGUAGCUCGUCGGGCUCAUAACCCGAAGGUCGUCGGUUCAAAUCCGGCCCCCGCNNN